rnacentral:rRNA from 1 species
GAUGAACGCUGGCGGCGUGCCUAAUACAUGCAAGUCGAGCGAAUGGAUUAAGAGCUUGCUCUUAUGAAGUUAGCGGCGGACGGGUGAGUAACACGCGGGUAACCUGCCCAUAAGACUGGGAUAACUCCGGGAAACCGGGGCUAAUACCGGAUAAUAUUUUGAACUGCAUGGUUCAAAAUUGAAAGGCGGCUUCGGCUGUCACUUAUGGAUGGACCCGCGUCGCAUUAGCUAGUUGGUGAGGUAACGGCUCACCAAGGCAACGAUGCGUAGCCGACCUGAGAGGGUGAUCGGCCACACUGGGACUGAGACACGGCCCAGACUCCUACGGGAGGCAGCAGUGGGGAAUAUUGCACAAUGGGCGCAAGCCUGAUGCAGCGACGCCGCGUGAGGGAUGAAGGUCUUCGGAUUGUAAGACUCUGUUGUUAGGGAAGAACAAGUGCUAGUUGAAUAAGCUGGCACCUUGACGGUACCUAACCAGAAAGCCACGGCUAACUACGUGCCAGCAGCCGCAGUAA